CCACCUGGGGAGUACGCCCGCAAGGGUGAAACUCAAAGGAAUUGACGGGGGCCCGCACAAGCGGUGGAGCAUGUGGUUUAAUUCGAUGAUACGCGAGGAACCUUACCAGGGUUUAAAUGCAGAACGACAGGGGUGGAAACACCCCCUUCUUCGGACGGACUGCAAGGUGCUGCAUGGUUGUCGUCAGCUCGUGCUGUGAAGUGUCGGGUUAAGUCCCAUAACGAGCGCAACCCCCAUUUCUAGUUGCCAGCGGUUCGGCCGGGGACUCUAGAGAAACUGCCAGCGUAAGCUGUGAGGAAGGUGGGGAUGACGUCAAAUCAUCACGGCCCUUACAUCCUGGGCCACACACGUGCUACAAUGGUGGGGACAACAGGUUGCCAACCCGCGAGGGUGAGCCAAUCCCAAAACCCCAUCUCAGUUCGGAUCGGAGUCUGCAACUCGACUCCGUGAAGUUGGAAUCGCUAGUAAUCGCGGAUCAGCCAUGCCGCGGUGAAUACGUUCCCGGGCCUUGUACACAC
rnacentral:rRNA from 1 species